rnacentral:rRNA from 1 species
GAUGAACGCUGGCGGCAUGCUUAACACAUGCAUGUCGAACGGGAAGUGGUGUUUCCAGUGGCGAACGGGUGAGUAACGCGUAAGAACCUGCCCUUGGGAGGGGAACAACAACUGGAAACGGUUGCUAAUACCCCGUAGGCUGAGGAGCAAAAGGAGAAAUCCGCCCAAGGAGGGGCUCGCGUCUGAUUAGCUAGUUGGUGAGGUAAUAGCUUACCAAGGCGAUGAUCAGUAGCUGGUCCGAGAGGAUGAUCAGCCACACUGGGACUGAGACACGGCCCAGACUCCUACGGGAGGCAGCAGUGGGGAAUGUUCCGCAAUGGGCGAAAGCCUGACGGAGCAAUGCCGCGUGGAGGUGGAAGGCCUACGGGUCGUCAACUUCUUUUCUCGGAGAAGAAACAAUGACGGUAUCUGAGGAAUAAGCAUCGGCUAACUCUGUG